UACGAAAGGGGCUAGCGUUGUUCGGAUUUACUGGGCGUAAAGCGCACGUAGGCGGAUUGUUAAGUCAGGGUGAAAUCCUGGAGCUCAACUCCAGAACUGCCUUUGAUACUGAGGGUCUUGAGUUCGGGAGAGGUGAGUGGAACUGCGAGUGUAGAGGUGAAAUUCGUAGAUAUUCGCAAGAACACCAGUGGCGAAGGCGGCUCACUGGCCCGAUACUGACGCUGAGGUGCGAAAGCGUGGGAGCAACAG
rnacentral:rRNA from 1 species